UACGUAGGGCGCAAGCGUUAUCCGGAAUUAUUGGGCGUAAAGAGCUCGUAGGCGGUUUGUCGCGUCUGCCGUGAAAAUCCGGGGCUCAACCCCGGACUUGCAGUGGAUACGGGCAGACUAGAGUGUGGUAGGGGAGACUGGAAUUCCUGGUGUAGCGGUGAAAUGCGCAGAUAUCAGGAGGAACACCGAUGGCGAAGGCAGGUCUCUGGGCCACUACUGACGCUGAGAAGCGAAAGCAUGGGGAGCGAACAGG
rnacentral:rRNA from 1 species